rnacentral:ncRNA from 1 species
UUGAGUGAAAGGCAAACUUAUCGAAAGAUAAGGACGCAAAGCCACAGGUCUAAGGCAAAAAGCUAGGAUGGCUGGGCUGCCGGC